rnacentral:SRP_RNA from 1 species
GCUGGAUGCAGUGGUGUAUGGCUAUAGUCCCAGCUAUGUGGGAGGCUGGGGAAGGAUUGCUUGAGCGCAGGAGUUCUGGGCUAUAGUGCGCUAAGUCAAUCGGGUGUAAGUUUGGCAUCAAUAUGGUAACCUCCUGGGAGCAGGGAGGACCACUCAGUUGUCUAAGGAGGGGAAAACCUGCAGGCCAGGUUGGAAACAGAGUGGGUCAAAACUCUCAUGCUGAUCAAUAAUGGGAUCACGCUUGUGAAUAGCCACUGCACUCCAGCCUGGGCAACAUAAUGAGACCUU